GACAUGAGUAACGACAAUGCGAGUGAAAAACUCGCACGCCGAAAGACCAAGGUUUCCUGCGCAACGUUAAUCGACGCAGGGUUAGUCGGUCCCUAAGGCGAGGCUGAAAAGCGUAGUCGAUGGAAAACAGGUUAAUAUUCCUGUACUUCCAGUUAUUGCGAUGGAGGGACGGAGAAGGUUAGGCCAGCCUGGCGUUGGUUGUCCAGGUUUAAGGUGGUAGGCUGAAAUCUUAGGCAAAUCCGGGAUUUCAAGGCCGAGAGCUGAUGACGAGUUGCCUUUAGGCGACGAAGUGGUUGAUACCAUGCUUCCAAGAAAAGCUCCUAAGCUUCAGAUAAC
rnacentral:rRNA from 1 species